GGACUCACAGGCCUCCCUUCCACUCACAGCCUUUUGAAGUAGCUCUGUGGACUUGCACCAGAGAGAUGAAAAGCUGAAAUCCAGCUGCCGUUCAUUCCUGCUUUAAGAUUAGGAAAGGUAGAGCUGAAUUUGGGCUAUGAUACUCGGAAGCUUUUCCCCAGCUGAUGGAGGCCUGCCCUGGAGGUGCUCAGCUCCAUCUCUGCUGUCCAGGCUGUGAGCAAGAACACCUAAGAAAAGCCAGCAGCCUCCUUCCCUCUCCCUCCCCAUCCAUUCAGAUUUUAGGAGAUCUCUGCAGGUGCCAGGGAUCCUGCCUCCAGCUUGGGUCCGGGGGAAAUUUGGGCCAAGAUGAAGCCUCUUAUUGGCUGCAUGAAUUCCAGCCUCCUUCAUUAACAUGAAGAGUGCCGUGCUCCCCGCUGUCUUAGGAGUUACAGAACAUUUAAAAGAUGAUUUGCGGACAGAUUAAGGACUUCAGAAGGAGAGAUGACACCAGACCCGGGUCUUGCAGAUGCAAACUGCUGUCAAGUGUGAGAGGAGAGGAGGGGAGUAUUAUCCACCAGUGGCAGAUAUGCUGGGCAUCUGGGCAGAAUGAUAAGAGCUGUGGCCCUGCAGCCAGUCCCUGCAUUUGCACCCUGAGUUUGCCAUGAGCUGUGUGACCUUAGUCAAGUUUCUCAACCUCUCUGUGCCUCAGCUUCCUUCUCUGAAAAAUGGGAAUCGUGUUUUGCACACAGCCCGACACACAGCAAAUAUUCAGUGACUGCUGCCGCUUUCUGCCAUAGCUAAAGGUGGUGUUGUGGUUUUCCUUCCAGGUUUUUAUGCUUUAAUUUCCUAACUGUUCCUGCAUUACCUCACAGUUGAUGACGUGUGGGGCCAAGCUCUUGGCACACGUGAUCACAGUGGAUAUUCAAGGAGCGUUAACUCGGGUCCAUUUUUCUUUCCAUCAAACACAGCCUCCUGGUAAAAGAGCCAUUCAGGAUGCCUGGAGGAGCCCAGAUUUCAAAUCUGAUGAAGGCUGCAGUUCUAUAAAUUCCCUCCCUCUUUUGUGCUGAUGGCAACGACUUUUAUAUGUAUUUUCAUGUCUUUCUCUCCAGAGAUAAAUUUUGUGGCCUGCCACUGAAUCUGCUUCCUAAAAUGUAGCUUGGAGAUUUUAUUUGAGAUAAACUAUCAUGUGAAUAAAUAUAGAUACUAUAUUUUAAUCUGGGAGCGUUCCAUUUGGAACCUCUUUUUUUAAAGUCAACAUUAGUGGUGCCAUCAUUCAAAGGAUAUGGACGUUUGGGGGAAAUUUACAUCCAACUGUGACUGAGAACCUUUUGCCAGGAUAAUAUCUGUUUCUCUGAAAAUGACAAUGGCUAUGGACGUAAAGCAUGAUCUCAGAUGGCAGUCCCAAAAUCAGGAAGGUCCAUUUCAACACAUCUCCUGGCCCCUGUGGCAAGCUACAAUGCUGGUAUGCUCGCAUGGCAGGGUCUCUGCCUUGCAGGUAACACGUGUCCAUCUGAGAAUAGUAAAGGAGGUUCAUUUGUUCAUGUGCUGGUGGUGCUGAGGAGUUUCACAGAGGCUGGAAACCAGGGGCUGGCAAUUGAUUCCCCCCAGAGCCCUCCGUUUCACACUGCCCCACCCCAGAGACCGUGGGAGAUGAUCAUGGGAGAGGAAGGUAAACAUGCAUCAGUGGAGCGGGAGAGUGACGGGGUGAAGAAACAGGAAACUGCGAUCACUGUGGGACGUUGCCCUUUUUUCAUGACCACGAAGAUGCAAAAUGCUGAGCCUUGUUAUUUCUGGCCCAGGAGGGCAUGUCAACACCCCGAAUGGCUGAAACUGACCCAGAAGUCAAAUUAGCUGGAAUUUAAUCUAUAAAAUGGAUUCAUUUGCACCUCAUUAGAACAUAAAAGCAAAUCCAAGUUCACAUGGGGAGGUUGGGGGGGGCAAGACAGUACUAAUAGAAGAAAAGAUGUUGGCUGAAAACAUGUUUUGAAAACAAGAUGUUAGAUGAUAAGAUAUGGCAAAAAAAGCAAAUGGAGAAUCCACAAACACAUAUAGGUUAACUCUACUCCAGCACACUGGGCCUGUGAGAAGCAGAUUGAGCUUGCACCUUCAAGGCCGUUGUGAUCAAUGGGAGAGCAGACAUGCAGACAAUGGAAG